rnacentral:rRNA from 1 species
AGAGUUUGAUCUUGGCUCAGAUUGAACGCUGGCGGCGUGCUUUACACAUGCAAGUUGAGCGAGGCCACCCGCAAGGGUGAGUCGAGCGGCGAACGGGUGAGUAACGCGUGGAUGACCUGCCCUCGAAUGGGGAAUAACCCUGGGAAACUAGGGCUAAUACCGCAUAAGACCGAGAGGUGAAAGCGGGGUCGCAAGAUCUCGUGUUCGAGGAGGGGUCCGCGUUCGAUUAGCUAGUUGGUAGGGUAAUGGCCUACCAAGGCGACGAUCGAUAGCCGGCCUGAGAGGGUGAUCGGCCACACUGGAACUGAGACACGGUCCAGACUCCUACGGGAGGCAGCAGUGGGGAAUUUUGCGCAAUGGGCUAACGCCUGACGCAGCAACGCCGCGUGGAGGAUGAAGGUCUUUGGAUUGUAAACUCCUGUCAGCAGGGAAAAAGGGAUUUAGGCUAAUACCCUAGAGACUUGAUUGUACCUGCAGAGGAAGCCCCGGCUAACUCUGUGCCAGCAGCCGCCGCAGUAAC